GACGAACGCUGGCGGCGUGCCUAAUACAUGCAAGUUGAGCGCUGAAGGUUGGUACUUGUACCGACUGGAUGAGCAGCGAACGGGUGAGUAACGCGUGGGGAAUCUGCCUUUGAGCGGGGACAACAUUUGGAAACGAAUGCUAAUACCGCAUAAAAACUUUAAACACAAGUUUUAAGUUUGAAAGAUGCAAUUGCAUCACUCAAAGAUGAUCCCGCGUUGUAUUAGCUAGUUGGUGAGGUAAAGGCUCACCAAGGCGAUGAUACAUAGCCGACCUGAGAGGGUGAUCGGCCAAAUUGGGACUGAGACACGGCCCAAACUCCUACGGGAGGCAGCAGUAGGGAAUCUUCGGCAAUGGACGAAAGUCUGACCGAGCAACGCCGCGUGAGUGAAGAAGGGUUUCGGAUCGUAAAACUCUGUUGGUAGAGAAGAACGUUGGUGAGAGUGGAAAGCUCAUCAAGUGACGGUAACUACCCAGAAAGGGACGGCUAACUACGUG
rnacentral:rRNA from 1 species